UAUAUUCCGAAAUACCACAAUAUUUCACUUGGAAUCCAUCAUCGAAAACAUUUCAACGACGAAAGCAAGGGGAGCGUGUUGACGGUUAUCCAAAUGUCCGUUAACCAGAUGCCAUAAGACGCAUUUACACCAUCCAUCCGAACAACGCCGAAUGUUUCUAUUUGCGUCUGCUAUUAGUCAACGUGCGCGGACCAAGAUCAUUUGAUGAUUUGAAACGGUCAGUUGUGUGCGACGUAUCGUGAAGCAUGUCCGCGAUUGCAUUUGUUAGAAGAUGAUAUGCAUUGGGACACCGCACUUCAUGACGCAUCACUCACAUCUCAUCCAAAACAAUACAAAAAUACGCGUACUAUUCGCCAUAAUAAUAUCUACAUGCCUUUUGUCAAAUCCGCAAGAACUGUGGAAUAAGUGCAAAGACUGCAUGACCGAGGACUUAUUAAUUUUGGCGCGUAAUCGAGCAUCGGACGCAGACUUGCUAUAUACAUUACAAAUGUAUAAUGAUGCUUUGAUAUUGGUUGAAGAUCUGUGCCUUACAAUUGCGAAUAAGGCAUUAGCGCAACUUGGCAUAACUGCGCCCAAUCGUUCAGCGAUUGAUAUGCUUGACCAUGAGCUUCAAUGUGAACAACAAUACGAUUGCAAUGAAUUGCGUGCUUUCAUACAAGCUAACAUUACCAAAUUGAAUAUUCAGCAGAAAAAUGCUUAUGAUAAGAUUAUACGAGCGGAUGCGCCCGGUGGUACAGGGAAAACGUUUCUGAUCUCUUUGAUUCUUGCUACUAUACGGUCACAGCAGAAAAUUGCGCUGGCAAUUGCUUCGUCAGGCAUCGCUGCUACUCUACUUGAUGGUGGCCGAACAGCACAUUCUGCGUUGAAAUUACCGUUGAACAUCCAAGUCGUUGAAACACCAACGUGCAACAUAUCGAGGAAUUCAACAAUGGCAAAAGUUUUGCGAGGAGCUGGAAUAGUUCUAUGGGAUGAGUGCCCAAUGGCUAACAAGAAGUCAUUAGAAGCAUUCAAUAGAACAAUGCAAGAUUUACACCAAAAGCAACAACUUUUUGGCGGAGCAUUAGUCUUAUUAUCCGGCGAUUUUCGGCAACUUUUUCAGUCAUUCCUCGAUCAACUCCUGCCGACGAAAUAAACUUUAAACAUACGUUUCGUCAGUUUUGUGGAGACAUGUUCAAAAACUGACUCUUACCAUCAACAUGCGAGUCCAAUUGCAAAAUGAUCGAUCCGCAGCGGCGUUUUCGAAGCAGUUGUUGGACAUUGGCGAAGGCAAAAUAGAAUCGAUAAUACCGGUUUGAUCACAUUGCCGAACAACUUUUGUACACUUUUACAAUCGAAAGAAGAAUAGAUUGAAAGUGUAUUUCCGAAUAUUGUUCAACACUAUCAACGCCACGAUUAUUUAAGUGAACGCGCAAUAUUGGCACCGAAAAAUGUACACGUCAACGAAAUCAAUUUUGCCAUUCAAGAAAAACUGCCAGGAGAAGCUACAACAUAUACAUCGAUUGAUAGCGUUUUAAAUCAAGAUGAAGUAGUCAAUUAUCCAACUGAAUUCUUGAAUUCUUUGGAUCCCCCCGGUCUGCCACCGCAUCGUUUGGUCCUGAAAGUCGGUUCACCCAUUAUACUUCUACGAAAUCUGAAGCCACCGACUUUGUGUAAUGGCACAAGACUUUCAGUCAAAAAUUGUGGCCAAAUUUGAUUGAAGCAACAAUACUAAAUGGCAAGGCAGCAGGUGAAGUUGUACUCUUACCACGCAUUCCCAUGAUUCCAACGGACAUGCCGUUUGAAUUUAAGCGCUUGCAGUUCCCAGUACGUCUUGCCUUUGCGAUGACCAUCAACAAAUCGCAAGGCCAAACGUUUCAAGUGUGCGGCGUCAAUUUGGAAGAACCGUGCUUCUCCCACGGCCAAUUGCUCGAGAGUGGGAACACCAAGGUGCUUAUUCAUUUACGCGCCAGGUGGAAAAACCAAAAAUGUGUUUACCAAUAUAUUUAAUAAAUGUUUUAUAAAUAAAUAACAGUUUUACAACAAUAAAUAAAACUCAAAGUAAAAACCCUUAAGAGUUUUAAUCGAUUUAGGUGUUGCUAAACGCACAGGGUAACAGCUAGUUGUUACUAAAGUAUAUAACGCCGUGCAUAUGAACUAUUUUGCACAAAUUUACAGGGAAGAACCGAAAAUAAAACAACAAACUCAACCAAAGCAAUUUGAAAUUCUCGUGGAUUUCAUGAAGGCGCAUGCCGAUUUAUCGAAAGGAUCACUGAAAACACCAGACGCCAAAAGUACCUCCACUAAUUUAUGGAAAAAUUUAGUUUCCCAUUUAAAUGCAGCUGGGCCACCAUUGCGCGACAUUGCGGGGUGGAAAAAGGUUUGGGCAGACUAUAAGAUUCACUGAAAGGCAAAAAUGCGACGAAACAAAAAUAAUAUUUCGGAAACUGGAGGUGGUCCUUCACUUUUCAUACCCUUAUCACAGUUAGAGCAUCAAGUGAGUGAGUUAUUGUCAAUAGAGGAAUCAAUAAAUGAAAUGAGUGGUACCUUGUCAUUCGGUGCAGCUACAAGCAGCAUGUCAGAGGUAAAUGCAGACCCUACCAAACCAAAUACACAAAACAGUGAACUACCACAAUGUUCCAAAGUGGCAUGCACACCUCACAAAAAACAGCAGACUCCUCUUAAUACACAAGAAAAUGACCUACCACAAUGUUCAAAUUUGACGUACCCACCGCGCAAAAAGCAGCAGACUCUGCUUGAACAACAAGUCGAAAACCAAAUUAUAUUCCACAAUAACUCGAUUAAAGUGUUAAACGAUAUAAAUUAUAAUAUAAAAAACAUUUUGAAAACAUUGAAAAAAAGAAAUAAAUUAGAAAAACGGAGACUAACCUUUGAAAAGGAAAAAUUUCUGAAAAAAUUGAUGAACAAAAAUUGAGAAACUGGAAAAUGUAAGUUAAAUAACUAUAUAACUGCGAGAAGUAGAAUUAAAAACUACAAAUUUAAUCUGUAAUUAUUUAAAUUUAAUUUUCCUUAUUACAAUGAAAUAAAAGACUGGAUUUAUUAAUUUGCAAAUAGUUCGUUUUAAUUAA